GAUGAACGCUGACAGAAUGCUUAACACAUGCAAGUCAACUUGAAUUUGGGUUUUUAACUUAGAUUUGGGUGGCGGACGGGUGAGUAACGCGUAAAGAACUUGCCUCACAGCUAGGGACAACAUUUAGAAAUGAAUGCUAAUACCUGAUAUUAUGAUUUUAAGGCAUCUUAGAAUUAUGAAAGCUAUAAGCACUGUGAGAGAGCUUUGCGUCCCAUUAGCUAGUUGGAGAGGUAACAGCUCACCAAGGCGAUGAUGGGUAGCCGGCCUGAGAGGGUGAACGGCCACAAGGGGACUGAGACACGGCCCUUACUCCUACGGGAGGCAGCAGUGGGGAAUAUUGGACAAUGGACCGAGAGUCUGAUCCAGCAAUUCUGUGUGCACGAUGAAGUUUUUCGGAAUGUAAAGUGCUUUCAGUUGGGAAGAAAAAAAUGACGGUACCAACAGAAGAAGUGACGGCUAAAUACGUGCCAGCAGCCGCGGUAAUACGUAUGUCACGAGCGUUAUCCGGAUUUAUUGGGCGUAAAGCGCGUCUAGGUGGUUAUGUAAGUCUGAUGUGAAAAUGCAGGGCUCAACUCUGUAUUGCGUUGGAAACUGUGUAACUAGAGUACUGGAGAGGUAAGCGGAACUACAAGUGUAGAGGUGAAAUUCGUAGAUAUUUGUAGGAAUGCCGAUGGGGAAGCCAGCUUACUGGACAGAUACUGACGCUGAAGCGCGAAAGCGUGGGUAGCAAACAGG
rnacentral:rRNA from 1 species